CAUGCCUAACACAUGCAAGUCGAACGGAGUUAUUUGAAUGAAGUUUUCGGAUGGAUUUCAGAUAACUUAGUGGCGGACGGGUGAGUAACGCGUGAGCAACCUGCCUUUCAGAGGGGGACAACAGUUGGAAACGACUGCUAAUACCGCAUAACGUAUCGGAACCGCAUGGCUCUGAUACCAAAGAUUAUAUCGCUGAAAGAUGGGCUCGCGUACGAUUAGAUAGUUGGUGAGGUAACGGCUCACCAAGUCGACGAUCGUUAGCCGGACUGAGAGGUUGAACGGCCACAUUGGGACUGAGACACGGCCCAGACUCCUACGGGAGGCAGCAGUGAGGAAUAUUGGGCAAUGGGCGCAAGCCUGACCCAGCAAUGCCGCGUGAAGGAAGACGGUUUUCGGAUUGUAAACUUCUUUUAAGAGGGACGAUAAUGACGGUACCUCUUGAAUAAGCCACGGCUAACUACGUG
rnacentral:rRNA from 1 species